UGACAGCUAACAUGGCAUUGCAUGGGUGUACUAAUACAUUGUCUGGACUGUUUUGGCGAAGACAUCCGGUCUGCCUCUGGGCACGUACUGAAGGGCAGCUGGCACAGUCAUCUCUGUGGUGUUUGGCAGAUGUUGGGCGUGGGAGAUUUGAGCUGCUUGCGAGCAGCUGCUCGCAUAGCACUGGAACGGUGUGCUUGAGGAGGUCUGUCGAAUCUUGAAAGCUUACAGAUAUGGGGUUUUGAAACUUUUAUUUUUAUUUCUAUGCUGUCCCCAGUAGAGUGUAAACCUUUGGAGGAACCUGUCACAGGAAAGAGCUCCUUCUGGAACUGUUCAGCACUCGGGGUGUUGUAGCUGGCCUAAGAGAGCAGAUGGAAGCAUCUUCCUCGAGGGCAGGUGAGGGGCCGAGGUGUCUCGCACAGGCUGAGUGGGCCAAGCUGCACUCUGAAGAGCAGCACGAGAAGGGCGGGCUGGUUGUGAGCUGGAUUGGAGCAGAACUGCCAAGUAGCACGAGGUGAGUGCGAAGGGU